rnacentral:lncRNA from 1 species
UUCAAUAAUUACACAACUACCUAACCACAACAUCUAUUGACGUCAAAUAAAUGUAGUAAUCUUAAACAUGAUAAUUAAUACACCAAUAUUUUGAUAACAAAUGCAUAUCUAACAACAUAUAACAUGAUAUUAAUGAAAAUAGGUUAAGCUAAUACAUAAAUUCCAACAUAAACUUAUUUAGUUCAUCAUUCUAACAAAAUAACAAAGAGAUUCUCAUAAACAUAUCAUUACAAACAUGAAGAACUAAAUGAAAGGAAUACAAAAGUUGAGAUAAAACCCUUUUAAAUACGAAUUGUAAUUCCUUCAAUGUAUUCUUCAAGCUUUCCUUAAUGAUCUCCUUGCUAUAUCCACUUGAUUCCCAAAAUAAAACUAAAAUUAACAAAAGAAAAUAAAACUAAAAGAAAAAAUCAAGAAAAAGAUAGAGAGAGACCAAGAGAGAUAGAGAGAAAAGUGAAAGAGUUGGGGAAUUUUUUUUACCUACCAAGUUAUAUUAGUAUAUAUAUG